rnacentral:rRNA from 1 species
UACGUAGGGGGCAAGCGUUGUCCGGAAUUAUUGGGCGUAAAGAGCUUGUAGGCGGUUUGUCGCGUCUGCUGUGAAAAUCCGGGGCUCAACUCCGGACUUGCAGUGGGUACGGGCAGGCUAGAGUGUGGUAGGGGAGACUGGAAUUCCUGGUGUAGCGGUGGAAUGCGCAGAUAUCAGGAGGAACACCGAUGGCGAAGGCAGGUCUCUGGGCCACUACUGACGCUGAGAAGCGAAAGCAUGGGGGAGCGA